rnacentral:rRNA from 1 species
UCUCAGUUCGGAUCGGAGUCUGCAACCCGACUCCGUGAAGCUGGAUUCGCUAGUAAUCGCGCAUCAGCCAUGGCGCGGUGAAUACGUUCCCGGGCCUUGUACACACCGCCCGUCAAGCCAUGGGAGCUGGGGGUGCCUGAAGGCCGUGACCGCGAGGAGCGGCCUAGGGUAAAACCGGUGACUGGGGCUAAGUCGUAACAAGGUACC